rnacentral:rRNA from 1 species
UACGGAGGGUGCAAGCGUUAAUCGGAAUUACUGGGCGUAAAGGGCGCGUAGGCGGCCUGCUAAGUCGAACGUGAAAUCCCUGGGCUCAACCCAGGAACUGCGUCCGAUACUGGUUGGCUUGAAUUCGGGAGAGGGAUGCAGAAUUCCAGGUGUAGCGGUGAAAUGCGUAGAUAUCUGGAGGAAUACCGGUGGCGAAGGCGGCAUCCUGGACCGACAUUGACGCUGAGGAGCGAAAGCUAGGGGAGCAAACGGG